CUAGUACUCCCUCCGUCCCAAAAUAACUGUCUUAAACUUAAUACAAUUUUGUAUUAGAGCUAGUACAAAAUCAAGACAGCUAUUUUGGGACGGAGGGAGUACAUU
rnacentral:pre_miRNA from 1 species